AUUAUUUCAAAACAGAUUUUUUUUAUUCACUCAGAUUAUUUUUGUCUGAUACAUAACUUGAAAUUUGAAACAUUUAACUGUGAAAAAAGCAAAAACAGAAUAUGUUUGUAUAGUGGUAAAUAUAGUUAUAUUUCUUUGUCAUAGAGACAAACAAAUACAGAUGGAAACAACCAAUUUCUCCAAAUCUUGACAAUAACAUUAAUGCUUUUUUUGUUUUAUUUUUUAAUAUAAAGACUCUUCAGGACUGAGUACUGAGCUGGCGCUCCACAAAAGAAGCAAACCAAGUCAUUUUUCAGCUGCUUUUCAGACAGCAGAGUCACAUGAAGAACCAGAUGAACAUGUGACCAUCGGUCAGAUCCAAGCUGACAACAGCAGUGAUGACUCCAGAAGAUUCAGAUAAUCUUAGUUUUUAUAAUCUAAAGCAGGGGUGUCUUUUUCCUCUAACUGAGGUUUAAUGGUCCUUACUGUAGUUCUCUGGAGUCUUAAAGCUUUAGAAAUAUAAAUUUGUCAGCCAUUCCAGACUGAUAGAUGUCAGUGUUGUUGUUUGUUUUACUUUUCCUCAUUUGUAUUUAUUCAGGAUGUCUUUGAUAUUAUAAUGCAAGGAUUUGGAAUAUUAAAGUGUGACAAAAUGUC